rnacentral:rRNA from 1 species
UACGUAGGGUCCGAGCGUUGUCCGGAAUUAUUGGGCGUAAAGGGCUCGUAGGCGGUUUGUUGCGUCGGGAGUGAAAACUUACAGCUUAACUGUGAGCGUGCUUCCGAUACGGGCAGACUUGAGGUAUUCGAGGGGAGAACGGAAUUCCUGGUGUAGCGGUGAAAUGCGUAGAUAUCAGGAGGAACACCAGCGGUGUAGACGGCUUUCUGGACCAUUGCUGACGCUGAGACACGAAAGCGUGGGUAGCAAACAGG